rnacentral:misc_RNA from 1 species
AAGUCGUAACAAGGUUUCCGUAGGUGAACCUGCGGAAGGAUCAUUAGCGAAGUCAAGUCCGACCUUAGUAGGAUUGUAGCUGGCUUAACCGCAUGUGCUCGUCUCAAAGGGUUCGGACCUUCACUACCACACCCCACUGUGAACCAAGCGGGAGGUCGAAAGGCCUCUUGCAUUUAUCAUAUACCCCAUCGUAUGUCUUAGAAUGUCAUAGCGUUAACUCGCAAAUAUACAACUUUCAACAACGGAUCUCUUGGCUCUC